AUUGAACGCUGGCGGCAUGCUUUACACAUGCAAGUCGAACGGUAACAGGCCGCAAGGUGCUGACGAGUGGCGAACGGGUGAGUAAUGCAUCGGAACGUGCCCAGACGUGGGGGAUAACGCAGCGAAAGCUGCGCUAAUACCGCAUACGAUCUAUGGAUGAAAGAGGGGGACCGUAAGGCCUCGCGCGAUUGGAGCGGCCGCUGUCAGAUUAGGUAGUUGGUGGGGUAAAGGCUCACCAAGCCAACGAUCUGUAGCUGGUCUGAGAGGACGACCCGCCACACUUGGACUGAGACACGGCCCAGACUCCUACGGGAGGGAGCAGUGGGGAAGUUUGGACAAUGGGCGCAAGCCUGAUCCAGCAAUGCCGCGUGCAGGAAGAAGGCCUUCGGGUUGUAAACUGCUUUUGUACGGAACGAAAAGGCUCUGGAUAAUACCUGGGGCUCAUGACGGUACCGUAAGAAUAAGCACCGGCUAACUACGUGCCAGCCGCCGCAGUAACAC
rnacentral:rRNA from 1 species